rnacentral:lncRNA from 1 species
AUGGCCCAGCCCAAUGCUCUGAUUUUACAUGGCCUUUUUUGUUCCCUGUGUCCUAGGAGUGGCCAUGUACUUAGUCUCACAGAGCUGUGUACCUCUCCUGCGCCAGGCUGGGAACCACCUAACACGACUGCCUUGUGUACAGCCCCUGUUCAGCUCCACGUACCACACUUGUGCCCAGCACCGAAGGUGCUGAGUGACCCACUGUCACCGCCUGGCACGUGUGCCUGCUGCCUUCAGCUCCUGUUAGGAGCUGCCUUGCCAAGACCUUUUCCACACUGUGAUGGAAACCAAGUUGGAAAUAACUCUGGAGCUGGCAAGAUUUCUCUGAGUUUUCAUUUCUUGAAUUGCUUUGCUGCCAAGCUAUGUUAUUCACAUCUUCUUGGGGAUGUGUAGCAUGAUUUUUCUUCUUAAUGCACUUCUCUCUAAGGGAGAGGUGAUAGAAAUAAAGCCUGACACUUGUAAAAACCCUGCUUUCCA